rnacentral:rRNA from 1 species
UACGUAGGGUGCAAGCGUUGUCCGGAAUUAUUGGGCGUAAAGAGCUCGUAGGCGGUUUGUCGCGUCUGCUGUGAAAACUCGGGGCUUAACUCCGGGCCUGCAGUGGGUACGGGCAGACUAGAGUGCGGUAGGGGAGACUGGAAUUCCUGGUGUAGCGGUGAAAUGCGCAGAUAUCAGGAGGAACACCGGUGGCGAAGGCGGCUACCUGGACCAGCACUGACACUGAGGCACGAAAGCGUGGGGAGCAAACGGG